rnacentral:rRNA from 1 species
GGGUUGUGAGGUUAAGCGACUAAGCGUACACGGUGGAUGCCCUGGCAGUCAGAGGCGAUGAAGGACGUGCUAAUCUGCGAAAAGCGUCGGUAAGGUGAUAUGAACCGUUAUAGCCGGCGAUGUCCGAAUGGGGAAACCCAGUGCAAUUCGUUGCACUAUCGUUAACUGAAUACAUAGGUUAACGAGGCGAACCGGGGGAACUGAAACAUCUAAGUACCCCGAGGAAAAGAAAUCAACCGAGAUUCCCCCAGUAGCGGCGAGCGAACGGGGAGCAGCCCAGAGUCUGAAUCAGCUUGUGUGUUAGUGGAACGGUCUGGAAAGUCCGACGGUACAGGGUGAUAGUCCCGUACACCAAAAUGCACAGGUUGUGAACUCGAAGAGUAGGGCGGGACACGUGGUAUCCUGUCUGAAUAUGGGGGGACCAUCCUCCAAGGCUAAAUACUCCUGACUGACCGAUAGUGAACCAGUACCGUGAGGGAAAGGCGAAAAGAACCCCGGCGAGGGGAGUGAAAAAGAACCUGAAACCGUGUACGUACAAGCAGUGGGAGCACCUUCGGGUGUGACUGCGUACCUUUUGUAUAAUGGGUCAGCGACUUAUAUUCUGUAGCAAGGUUAACCGUAUAGGGGAGCCGCAGGGAAACCGAGUCUUAACUGGGCGUUAAGUUGCAGGGUAUAGACCCGAAACCCGGUGAUCUAGCCAUGGGCAGGUUGAAGGUUGGGUAACACUAACUGGAGGACCGAACCGACUAAUGUUGAAAAAUUAGCGGAUGACUUGUGGCUGGGGGUGAAAGGCCAAUCAAACCGGGAGAUAGCUGGUUCUCCCCGAAAGCUAUUUAGGUAGCGCCUCGUGAACUCAUCUUCGGGGGUAGAGCACUGUUUCGGCUAGGGGGUCAUCCCGACUUACCAACCCGAUGCAAACUACGAAUACCGAAGAAUGUUAUCACGGGAGACACACGGCGGGUGCUAACGUCCGUCGUGAAGAGGGAAACAACCCAGACCGCCAGCUAAGGUCCCAAAGUCAUGGUUAAGUGGGAAACGAUGUGGGAAGGCACAGACAGCCAGGAUGUUGGCUUAGAAGCAGCCAUCAUUUAAAGAAAGCGUAAUAGCUCACUGGUCGAGUCGGCCUGCGCGGAAGAUGUAACGGGGCUAAACCAUGCACCGAAGCUGCGGCAGCGACACUAUGUGUUGUUGGGUAGGGGAGCGUUCUGUAAGCCUGCGAAGGUGUGCUGUGAGGCAUGCUGGAGGUAUCAGAAGUGCGAAUGCUGACAUAAGUAACGAUAAAGCGGGUGAAAAGCCCGCUCGCCGGAAGACCAAGGGUUCCUGUCCAACGUUAAUCGGGGCAGGGUGAGUCGACCCCUAAGGCGAGGCCGAAAGGCGUAGUCGAUGGGAAACAGGUUAAUAUUCCUGUACUUGGUGUUACUGCGAAGGGGGGACGGAGAAGGCUAUGUUAGCCGGGCGACGGUUGUCCCGGUUUAAGCAUGUAGGCUGGUUGUCCAGGCAAAUCCGGAUAAUCAAGGCUGAGGUGUGAUGACGAGGCACUACGGUGCUGAAGUAACAAAUGCCCUGCUUCCAGGAAAAGCCUCUAAGCAUCAGGUAACAUCAAAUCGUACCCCAAACCGACACAGGUGGUCAGGUAGAGAAUACCAAGGCGCUUGAGAGAACUCGGGUGAAGGAACUAGGCAAAAUGGUGCCGUAACUUCGGGAGAAGGCACGCUGGUGUGUAGGUGAAGUCCCUGCGGAUGGAGCUGAGACCAGUCGAAGAUACCAGCUGGCUGCAACUGUUUAUUAAAAACACAGCACUGUGCAAACACGAAAGUGGACGUAUACGGUGUGACGCCUGCCCGGUGCCGGAAGGUUAAUUGAUGGGGUUAUCCGUAAGGAGAAGCUCUUGAUCGAAGCCCCGGUAAACGGCGGCCGUAACUAUAACGGUCCUAAGGUAGCGAAAUUCCUUGUCGGGUAAGUUCCGACCUGCACGAAUGGCGUAAUGAUGGCCAGGCUGUCUCCACCCGAGACUCAGUGAAAUUGAACUCGCUGUGAAGAUGCAGUGUACCCGCGGCAAGACGGAAAGACCCCGUGAACCUUUACUAUAGCUUGACACUGAACAUUGAGCCUUGAUGUGUAGGAUAGGUGGGAGGCUUUGAAGCGUGGACGCCAGUCUGCGUGGAGCCAACCUUGAAAUACCACCCUUUAAUGUUUGAUGUUCUAACGUUGGCCCCUGACCGGGGUUGCGGACAGUGUCUGGUGGGUAGUUUGACUGGGGCGGUCUCCUCCCAAAGCGUAACGGAGGAGCACGAAGGUUAGCUAAUCCUGGUCGGACAUCAGGAGGUUAGUGCAAUGGCAUAAGCUAGCUUGACUGCGAGCGUGACGGCGCGAGCAGGUGCGAAAGCAGGUCAUAGUGAUCCGGUGGUUCUGAAUGGAAGGGCCAUCGCUCAACGGAUAAAAGGUACUCCGGGGAUAACAGGCUGAUACCGCCCAAGAGUUCAUAUCGACGGCGGUGUUUGGCACCUCGAUGUCGGCUCAUCACAUCCUGGGGCUGAAGUAGGUCCCAAGGGUAUGGCUGUUCGCCAUUUAAAGUGGUACGCGAGCUGGGUUUAGAACGUCGUGAGACAGUUCGGUCCCUAUCUGCCGUGGGCGCUGGAGAAUUGAGGGGGGCUGCUCCUAGUACGAGAGGACCGGAGUGGACGCAUCACUGGUGUUCGGGUUGUCAUGCCAAUGGCACUGCCCGGUAGCUAAAUGCGGAAGAGAUAAGUGCUGAAAGCAUCUAAGCACGAAACUUGCCCCGAGAUGAGUUCUCCCUGAGACUAUAAGUCUCCUGAAGGAACGUUAAAGACGAUGACGUUGAUAGGCCGGGUGUGUAAGCGCAGCGAUGCGUUGAGCUAACCGGUACUAAUGAACCGUGAGGCUUAACCUUACAACGCCGAAG